rnacentral:lncRNA from 1 species
CGGGCCACUCGUGCGUGGGUCACUCAGGACUGCGCCUCGCGCGACUGUGUGUGCAGGAAACAAGCAGGAAAUACCCUAAAAUAGAAUGAAGCGCCAUGUUGAGGGUCGCGGACGUCGCGAGUGCUGUGGGAAUGUGGGCUGAGGUGGAGAGUUAUGGUGGCCCGUGUUACAGGCUCAGGGGUCGGAAAGAAGCCUAAUCGUGGAGGCGGCAUCUGAGGAGGGUCUUGAACGCUGGGCAGGCAUUUGCCCGACAGAGAUGGAGGAAGCUAGUCCUGUCUGAUGCAGGAAACAGGGCGGAGGCGUGGAGGGAGCCGUGCAGCGCUGGUGUGAGGAGCAGCGAGCAGGCCAGGCCUGUAAAGCAGAGUGAGGGAACCAGGAUAGAGAAGGCAAGUCGGGGUCCUGUGGUCGCUGAAGAAUUUGAAUGAAAUCAGUAAACAGGCUGUACAGGAAGCAUGGUGAUGGCAUCUGCAUGGCGCCUGUGGAGGCCCCAGGGAGCUUUUACUCGUGAUGGAAGGCACAGAGGGAGUAGGCACAUCA